rnacentral:rRNA from 1 species
CUGCCCCUGACUCUGGGAUAAGCCCGGGAAACUGGGUCUAAUACCGGAUAUGACAUCGUUUCGCAUGGGAUGGUGUGGAAAGUUUUUCGGUUGGGGAUGGACUCGCGGCCUAUCAGCUUGUUGGUGGGGUAAUGGCCUACCAAGGCGACGACGGGUAGCCGGCCUGAGAGGGCGACCGGCCACACUGGGACUGAGACACGGCCCAGACUCCUACGGGAGGCAGCAGUGGGGAAUAUUGCGCAAUGGGCGAAAGCCUGACGCAGCGACGCCGCGUGGGGGAUGACGGCCUUCGGGUUGUAAACCUCUUUCAGCAGGGACGAAGUUGACGUGUACCUGCAGAAGAAGCGCCGGCUAACUACGUGCCAGCAGCCGCGGUAAUACGUAGGGCGCAAGCGUUGUCCGGAAUUAUUGGGCGUAAAGAGCUCGUAGGUGGCUUGUCACGUCGGGUGUGAAAGCUUGGGGCUUAACUCCAGGUCUGCAUUCGAUACGGGCUGGCUAGAGGUAGGUAGGGGAGAACGGAA